CUAGAAGCAGGAAGUGAUGUGUUAGAAAAGCUAACACGGUUGUCUUGUUGGAAAGAGUCAGUGGCCGUGAUCAAAAGAACUGGGAACUCUGAAAAAAUUCUAAAUUCAAUCAUGACUCCAGUGAUCUUCAGGUUGGAAGUGGCCUUUACAUUUCACUUGGCAAGAGCCCAAAUCUAUGACCAGGCUACAGACACAUAGGUUUAUGUGGGUCUCUCGGCUAUGCCCCCCUCGGCCAUCAUCACUCCGGAACAUGUCCGUCCCUCCCGGAUCCAUGACCUCAACGUUGGACAGCGGCCAACUGUUUGAGUUCCUCGCUCGUCCUCGACCUGCGGGCGGCGCUGUUCGUUCAGUACAUCGACAUCUAAAUGAACGUGUGGUGGUGCCUUUACAAUCAUCCCGCAGCCUCCAAGUCUCUGACCCCCCUGCCCCUGUAGAAGACACCUGCUGCUGGCUGAGGAACAUACAGGUCAGGAGGCUCCCAGCCAGACCCCCCUGCCCCUGUAGAAGACACCUGCUGCUGGCUGAGGAACACACAGGUCAGGAGGCUACCAGCCAGACCCCCCUGGCCCUGUAGAAGACACCUGCUGCUGGCUGAGGAGGAACACACUGGUCAUGAGGCUUCCAGCCAGACCCCCCUGCCCCUGUAGAAGACACCUGCUGCUGCCUGAGGAACACACAAGUCAGGAGGCUCCCAGCCAGACCCCCCUGCCCCUGUAGAAGACACCUGCUGCUGCCUGAGGAAGAACACACAGGUCAUGAGACUCCCAGCCAGACCCCCUGCCCCUGUAGAAGACACCUGCUGCUGGCUGAGGAACAUACAGGUCAGGAGGCUCCCAGCCAGACCCCCCUGCCCCUGUAGAAGACACCUGCUGCUGCCUGAGGAACACACAAGUCAGGAGGCUCCCAGACAGACCCCCCUGCCCCUGUAGAAGACACCUGCUGCUGCCUGAGGAACACACAGGUCAGGAGGCUCCCAGCCAGACCCCCCUGCCCCUGUAGAAGACACCUGCUGCUGCCUGAGGAACACACAGGUCAGGAGGCUCCCAGCCAGACCACCCUGCCCUGUAGAAGACACCUGUUGCUGCCUGAGGAACACACAAGUCAGGAGGCUCCCAGCCAGACCACCCUGCCCCUGUAGAAGACACCUGUUGCUGCCUGAGGAACACACAAGUCAGGAGGCUCCCAGCCAGACCCCCCUGCCCCUGUAGAAGACACCUGCUGCUGCCUGAGGAACACACAGGUCAGGAGGCUCCCAGCCAGACCACCCUGCCCCUGUAUAAGACACCUGUUGCUGCCUGAGGAACACACAAGUCAGGAGGCUCCCAGCCAGACCCCCCUGCCCCUGUAGAAGACACCUGUUGCUGCCUGAGGAACACACAAGUCAGGAGGCUCCCAGCCAGACCACCCUGCCCCUGUAGAAGACACCUUCUGCUGCCUGAGGAACACACCGGUCAGGAGGCUCCCAGCCAGACCCCCCUGCCCCUGUAGAAGACACCUGCUGCUGGCUGAGGAGGAACACACAGGUCAUGAGACUCCCAGCCAGACCACCCUGCCCCUGUAGAAGACACCUGUUGCUGCUUGAGGAAGACACAGAGUCUCCAUUUGAGGGGGGCUACCAACUGUACCCACCCCUGCCAUCCAACCAGCUGCAUUUGAUCCCCCCGGCCACCUGGAGUGUGGCCAACCAAUGACCUUCCCACAAUUUACCUGUGGAUUCAAGAGAAACUCCCCAGUCUGGCCCGGGAAAAAAAGAGUUGUUGUUCCAGCACUCCGCCACCAGAUGGGGCAGUCAUAUUAAGAACCUAUGUUUGGAGAAGGGAAGAAGGACUUGAUGAUGCCAUUGCCAAUGGUUGAAGUUAACUUGACCUAGAUUGGGGUGAGAGUGGAGGAUGAGCUGGAAAGAAGGAGAGGAGAGCGGAAUGAGCGGUGUUGUACUUACCCAGUUUAUUACUGGGUGAUAUUAUUUUGAGAGUGGGACAGAGCUUGGUCAGUGUUUUUCACUCGUGCUUUUUAAAAAUGUACUUUUUAAAAAUCUCAGUAUUUCUGUACAUGUUGUUUUUUGAUCGUCAGUAUCCUUCCCCCUUGACAACAUAUAGAGAAUUGAUCCACUGAUGUUACCUGCAUGAUCAGAGGGCUCCCAUUAGACCGGUCCUUAUAUACGUUGACUGGCAACAGGUGUUUUUAGUCCCCCCCCCCCAUUGUGGAACAGUCUCUGUACAGCAGAUAUUGUAGCUAAUAACUCACGAGAGAUGGACUUACAUGCAGAACCGUUCCUCCAAAAACCAAAGAGUAGGUUAACCCAUAGAGGUCUCAGUUAACCCACAGUUUUACUCCUUGAUGUUUAAUAAACCACAUUCUACCCUCAAAGGGCAAUAUGACCCUGUUGAUAAAGACUAUUUUGGAGGAGAGUUUCAGCCUGGCUUUGAACGGGCCAAAGCUGAAUUCAUUUGAGUUAUUAUGACCAUGUGGGAUGUAAUGAGCUCAGUCCUCUUGCUUAAGAGCAGGGAAUAGAUGUGUGCGAAUACAAAGCCAAAUUGUUUAUUAAACAACAUUUGGGUUCUAAGAUGUUGAGAAAAGUGGCAUUGAAGAGUCUGCCUCACCUAAACCUGUGAAAAAUGUAUUUUCUACCACAAUAUCCUAACCUAACCCCAAUUCAGCAGGGGUCUACAGCCACAGGAAAUAACAUACCUGUAAAUAUACACACACUCUACUCUUGAGGAGGGCUGGAUGUAGGGCAUCUUCAACCUGAAAAACAAACACAAUCACGCUUAGGUUCUACAACACA